UACAGAGGGGGCAAGCGUUGUUCGGAAUUACUGGGCGUAAAGGGCGCGUAGGCGGCCUGCUAAGUCGAACGUGAAAUCCCCGAGCUCAACUCGGGAACUGCGUCCGAUACUGGAGGGCUUGAAUCCGGGAGAGGGAUGUGGAAUUCCAGGUGUAGCGGUGAAAUGCGUAGAUAUCUGGAGGAACACCGGUGGCGAAGGCGACAUCCUGGACCGGUAUUGACGCUGAGGCGCGAAAGCCAGGGGAGCAAACGGG
rnacentral:rRNA from 1 species